AGUGUAGGCGGUUUCUUAAGUCAGAGGUGAAAGGCUACGGCUCAACCGUAGUAAGCCUUUGAAACUGGGAAACUUGAGUGCAGGAGAGGAGAGUGGAAUUCCUAGUGUAGCGGUGAAAUGCGUAGAUAUUGGGUAGAACACCAGUGGCGAAGGCGGCUAUCUGGCUAUAUAUUGACGCUGAGGCUCGAAAGCAUGGGGAUCAAACA
rnacentral:rRNA from 1 species